CCACUAUGCUUAGCCAUAAACAUCGAUCUUUACACAAAAAUCCGCCCGGGAACUACAAACACGAGUUUAAAACCCAAAGGACUUGGCGGUGCUUAACAUCCACCUAGAGGAGCCUGUUCUAGAACCGAUAACCCCCGUUUAACCUCACCCCCCCUAGUCUAAAACCGCCUAUAUACCACCGUCGCCAGCUUACCCUGCAAAGGCCCCAAAGUAAGCAAAACUAGCACUGCUCAGAACGUCAGGUCGAGGUGUAGCGCAUGGGGGGGGAAGAAAUGGGCUACAUUCGCUACCCCUAGCGUAUAACGAAUGACUGCGUUGAAACACGCGUUUGAAGGAGGAUUUAGAAGUAAGCAAAAAAUAGAGUGUUUUGCUGAAACAUGGCACUAAAGCGCGUACAUACCGCCCGUCACUCUCUCCUGAAUUUACCUUAUUUUAUGUAUAUAACACCACAUCCAAAUAGAGGAGAGGAAA
rnacentral:rRNA from 1 species